rnacentral:rRNA from 1 species
GACGAACGCUGGCGGCGUGCUUACACAUGCCAGUCGCACGGAAAGGCCCUGCUUGCAGGGUCCUCGAGUGGCGAACGGGUGAGUAACACGUGGGUGAUCUGCCCUGCACUUCGGGAUAAGCCUGGGAAACUGGGUCUAAUACCGGAUAGGAGCCAUUUUUAGUGUGAUGGUUGGAAAGUUUUUUCGGUGUAGGAUGAGCUCGCGGCCUAUCAGCUUGUUGGUGGGGUAAUGGCCUACCAAGGCGGCGACGGGUAGCCGGCCUGAGAGGGUGGACGGCCACAUUGGGACUGAGAUACGGCCCAGACUCCUACGGGAGGCAGCAGUGGGGAAUAUUGCACAAUGGGCGCAAGCCUGAUGCAGCGACGCCGCGUGGGGGAGGACGGCCUUCGGGUUGGAAACUCCUUUCGCUAGGGACGAAGCUUUUUGUGACGGUACCUAGAGAAGAAGCACCGGCUAACUACGUG